UAAAUAGACUACAAAAAGGACACUUGUUUAUGGUAUGAGGGCUGAAACAAGAAAGCAGAGUGUCACCUUGUUCCAUCUAAGCUCACAGUUAUACUCUAUUUACAGCCUCCCUUGCAGAGGGACUAGGACUUAACUGAGAAAGAUGGAAAAACAAGCCACGGAAGUAACUUUUCACAUAAAAGUGAAUUUAAGGCACCUGAGACUU
rnacentral:lncRNA from 1 species